rnacentral:rRNA from 1 species
GACGAACCGUGCGAACGUUGUUCGGAAUCACUGGGCUUAAAGGGCGCGUAGGCGGCUUGCCAAGUCAGGGGUGAAAUCUUUCGGCUUAACCGGAAAAGUGCCUUUGAUACUGGCAGGCUAGAGCGAGGUAGGGGCAUGUGGAACUUCCGGUGGAGCGGUGAAAUGCGUUGAUAUCGGAAGGAACGCCGGUGGCGAAAGCGACGUGCUGGACCUUUUCUGACGCUGAGGCGCGAAAGCCAGGGGAGCAAACGGG